rnacentral:rRNA from 1 species
GAUGAACGCUGGCGGCGUGCCUAAUACAUGCAAGUCGAGCGAACAGACGAGGAGCUUGCUCCUCUGACGUUAGCGGUGGACGGGUGAGUAACACGUGGAUAACCUACCUAUAAGACUGGGAUAACUUCGGGAAACCGGAGCUAAUACCGGAUAACAUGUUGAACCGCGUGGUUCAACAGUGGAAGACGGUCUUGCUGUCACUUAUAGAUGGAUCCGCGCCGCAUUAGCUAGUUGGUAAGGUAACGGCUUACCAAGGCAACGAUGCGUAGCCGACCUGAGAGGGUGAUCGGCCACACUGGAACUGAGACACGGUCCAGACUCCUACGGGAGGCAGCAGUAGGGAAUCUUCCGCAAUGGGCGAAAGCCUGACGGAGCAACGCCGCGUGAGUGAAGAAGGUCUUCGGAUCGUAAAACUCUGUUAUUAGGGAAGAACAAAUGUGUAAGUAACUAUGCACGUCUUGACGGUACCUAAUCAGAAAGCCACGGCUAACUACGUGCCAGCCGCCGCGGUAA